UACGUAGGGUGCGAACGUUAAUCGGAAUUACUGGGCGUAAAGCGUGCGCAGGCGGUUUUGUAAGCCAGAUGUGAAAUCCCCGGGCUCAACCUGGGAAUGGCAUUUGGGACUGCAAGGCUUGAGUGCGGCAGAGGAGACUGGAAUUCCUGGUGUAGCAGUGAAAUGCGUAGAUAUCAGGAGGAAUACCGAUGGCGAAGGCAGGUCUCUGGGCUGACACUGACGCUCAUGCACGAAAGCGUGGGGAGCAAACAGG
rnacentral:rRNA from 1 species